rnacentral:rRNA from 1 species
AGUGAACGCUGGCGGUAGGCCUAACACAUGCAAGUCGAACGGCGGCACAGUAAGAGCUUGCUCUUACGGGUGGCGAGUGGCGGACGGGUGAGGAAUACAUCGGAAUCUACUUUUUCGUGGGGGAUAACGUAGGGAAACUUACGCUAAUACCGCAUACGACCUACGGGUGAAAGCAGGGGAUCUUCGGACCUUGCGCGAUUGAAUGAGCCGAUGUCGGAUUAGCUAGUUGGCGGGGUAAAGGCCCACCAAGGCGACGAUCCGUAGCUGGUCUGAGAGGAUGAUCAGCCACACUGGAACUGAGACACGGUCCAGACUCCUACGGGAGGCAGCAGUGGGGAAUAUUGGACAAUGGGCGCAAGCCUGAUCCAGCCAUACCGCGUGGGUGAAGAAGGCCUUCGGGUUGUAAAGCCCUUUUGUUGGGAAAGAAAAGCAGCAGGUUAAUACCCCGCUGUUUUGACGGUACCCAAAGAAUAAGCACCGGCUAACUUCGUG